UACGUAGGGUGCGAGCGUUGUCCGGAAUUAUUGGGCGUAAAGAGCUUGUAGGCGGUUUGUCGCGUCUGCUGUGAAAUCCGGGGCUCAACCCCGGACUUGCAGUGGGUACGGGCAGACUGGAGUGUGGUAGGGGAGACGUGGAAUUCCUGGUGUAGCGGUGGAAUGCGCAGAUAUCAGGAGGAACACCGAUGGCGAAGGCAGGUCUCUGGGCCACUACUGACGCUGAGAAGCGAAAGCAUGGGGAGCGAACAGG
rnacentral:rRNA from 1 species